rnacentral:tRNA from 1 species
UCCGGUAUAGUUCAAGGGCAGAACGCUGGGCUGUUAACUCAGAUGUUGUAGGUUCGAAUCCUGCUACCGGAGCCA